CCAAAGUCAGAUGCCCAGCAGCCUGAGCCACCCAGGCACCCCAUCACCCAGCCUUUUAAAAGACUCACCCAGACUUCAGUGGAUGCUCCUGGAUCUUGGAUGCACUGGGCUCCCUGGAGGAUUGGCUGCUGGAACAGGUUAGCCUGGAGGCGGUUCGACUAUCCUUCUACAACCACAGAAGAGCUGUUACCAGCAGAGAGAUCCUUGGAGCUAUUAAGCAGAGAUCCUUUCUGAAGAGCUUUUGUGUAAACGAAGUGUUCUGAAUGGUGCUGUUGUUGAAAGGAUUGCACUUGUCAAAAAUAAUCAGAUAGGUCAGAGGACUGAGUUGGAAGACAAGGUAUCUGAUAAAUACCUGUUGCAACAGGAGUCUUGGUACUACAUACCUGGUCUCUGGGUCCUGUGUUUUUGGCCUCUGACCUAAUUUGUGUGUGGGGAAAUAUAAAGGCAUUUUCUCUUAUGUCAUGUUA